rnacentral:rRNA from 1 species
GACGUAGGGGCCAGCGUUGUUCGGAAUUACUGGGUGUAAAGGGUUCGUAGGCGGUGCGGCAAGUUGGGAGUGAAAUCUCUGGGCUUAACCCAGAGGCUGCUUCCGAAACUGCUGUGCUUGAGUGUGGGAGAGGCGCGUGGAAUUGCAGGUGUAGCGGUGAAAUGCGUAGAUAUCUGCAGGAACACCCGUGGCGAAAGCGGCGCGCUGGACCACUACUGACGCUGAGGAACGAAAGCUAGGGGAGCAAACAGG